rnacentral:rRNA from 1 species
UAAACUCCUGUCAGAUGGAAAGAAAGGUCUGCGUUUAAUAGACGCGGAAUAUGACGGUACCAUCAGAGGAAGCACCGGCUAACUUCGUGC